AUUGAACGCUGGCGGCAGGCUUAACACAUGCAAGUCGAACGGUAACAGGGGGUAGCUUGCUACUUUGCUGACGAGUGGCGGACGGGUGAGUAAGGUAUGGGAAUUUGCCGAAUGGAGGGGGACAACAGUUGGAAACGGCUGCUAAUACCGCAUAACGUCGCGAGACCAAAGGGUGGGACUUUCGGGCCACCUGCCAAUUUUAGAUGUAGCCCAUAUGAGAUUAGCUAGUUGGUGUGG
rnacentral:rRNA from 1 species